CCAAAGUCCUGGCACAAGACGGAAAGGUGGCGGUCCGCCAGGUUUCAGCCGGACAUUCCCCGGUUAAAGCCCCCUUCAGGAGGAGGAGAGGGCUAGAAGAAGGCGUGCAACCGAAAUCCGCCGAGACUAAAGGGGUGACACCACUGCAUAAGGAAAGCUCCCCAGCACAGCACUUUACUCAGAAGAGGAAGGAAAAUGUGGAGAGAAUGGCUGGGACACAGGCAGAGGGAGAAGCAGGCUCCAUACAGGGAACCUGACAUGGGACUCCAUCCCCGGAUCUCCAGGAUCACACUCCAGGCUGUAGGCGGCGCUAAACCGCUGCACCACCGGGGCUGCCCCCAUGGUUUCAUUUUAAUUUGAACUGAGAUACUCACAUGUGGUUUAUGGCUACCAACCAUAUUGGAUAGUACAGAUCAAGAAAGAGGAAGUGAUGUGAAUGGAUACAUGAGUUGGGGCAGAGUGUUCCAAACAAGUGUCCUGUGACUGCCUUGGGAAAGAAAACAGAUGGGGAGCAAGGUGUAAAAUAAA